CUCACAUGGAGGAAAGAGACUGUUGGUGCAAAAGCAGUUGUAAACUAGUGAUGUUAGUAAUCUUGGACGAGUAGUUCUUCCUAAGAAAGCUGCAGAGGCAAACCUUCCACGCCUAGAGAUGAAGGAAGGCAUUGUCAUAUCAGCAAAGGACCAUGACAAUGAUCGCAGUUGGAUUCUCAAAUACAGGUUCUGGCCAAACAAUAAGACUAGAAUGUAUAUAAUGGAA